GGAUGAGGGUAGCAAAGAGAGAAAGUCGCGCUAGCACCUGUUUUGUAUUUUUCCAGGAUGCAAAUGAAGAAACUGAGACUCAGUGACUUUCCUAUGGCCGUACAGUCAGUGUAACCAUAAAUUCAGAGCUCUUGCCAUGUGCACUCCAGUGGCUGGAUUAUCAUGAAUGACAGGACACAGAAGAGUAGAUGCAGAGGCACUUUCUUUUUGAAAGAUAAGAAAUACAGAGAAAACUGCACCACUUCCCAAUAACUCACAAGCUGAACCCUUCUGACGCCCUUGGCCACCAGCAAACCUCUGGGCUUU